UACAGAGGUCUCAAGCGUUGUUCGGAUUCAUUGGGCGUAAAGGGUGCGUAGGUGGUGAUGCAAGUCUGGUGUGAAAUCUCGGAGCUCAACUCCGAAAUUGCACCGGAUACUGCGUGACUCGAGGACUGUAGAGGAGAUCGGAAUUCACGGUGUAGCAGUGAAAUGCGUAGAUAUCGUGAGGAAGACCAGUUGCGAAGGCGGAUCUCUGGGCAGAUACUGACGCUGAGGUGCGAAAGCGUGGGGAGCAAACAGG
rnacentral:rRNA from 1 species